GGCAGACCUGCCUGUGGAAGACCAACAUCAGUAAAGGAGGUCCUGGAAGCAGUGAUACCACAAAUGCAAUGUGCACAUCUGGUGCUGACCCCAGGAGCACUCCCAAUAUUUUUUUGGAUCUGGCUCCUAAAGCAAACAAAAGCAAAAAUAACCAAUGGGAAGUAAUUAAACUUAAAACCCUUUGCACAUCAAAGGAAACCAUCAACAACACAAAAGGAGAACCUACUGAAUGGGAGAGAUAUUU